rnacentral:rRNA from 1 species
AGAGUUUGAUCCUGGCUCAGGAUGAACGCUAGCUACAGGCUUAACACAUGCAAGUCGAGGGGCAGCAUGGUCUUAGCUUGCUAAGGCCGAUGGCGACCGGCGCACGGGUGAGUAACACGUAUCCAACCUGCCGUCUACUCUUGGACAGCCUUCUGAAAGGAAGAUUAAUACAAGAUGGCAUCAUGAGUCCGCAUGUUCACAUGAUUAAAGGUAUUCCGGUAGACGAUGGGGAUGCGUUCCAUUAGAUAGUAGGCGGGGUAACGGCCCACCUAGUCUUCGAUGGAUAGGGGUUCUGAGAGGAAGGUCCCCCACAUUGGAACUGAGACACGGUCCAAACUCCUACGGGAGGCAGCAGUGAGGAAUAUUGGUCAAUGGGCGAGAGCCUGAACCAGCCAAGUAGCGUGAAGGAUGACUGCCCUAUGGGUUGUAAACUUCUUUUAUAAAGGAAUAAAGUCGGGUAUGGAUACCCGUUUGCAUGUACUUUAUGAAUAAGGAUCGGCUAACUCCGUGCCAGCAGCCGCGGUAAUACGGAGGAUCCGAGCGUUAUCCGGAUUUAUUGGGUUUAAAGGGAGCGUAGAUGGAUGUUUAAGUCAGUUGUGAAAGUUUGCGGCUCAACCGUAAAAUUGCAGUUGAUACUGGAUAUCUUGAGUGCAGUUGAGGCAGGCGGAAUUCGUGGUGUAGCGGUGAAAUGCUUAGAUAUCACGAAGAACUCCGAUUGCGAAGGCAGCCUGCUAAGCUGCAACUGACAUUGAGGCUCGAAAGUGUGGGUAUCAAACAGGAUUAGAUACCCUGGUAGUCCACACGGUAAACGAUGAAUACUCGCUGUUUGCGAUAUACUGCAAGCGGCCAAGCGAAAGCGUUAAGUAUUCCACCUGGGGAGUACGCCGGCAACGGUGAAACUCAAAGGAAUUGACGGGGGCCCGCACAAGCGGAGGAACAUGUGGUUUAAUUCGAUGAUACGCGAGGAACCUUACCCGGGCUUAAAUUGCAGAUGAAUUACGGUGAAAGCCGUAAGCCGCAAGGCAUCUGUGAAGGUGCUGCAUGGUUGUCGUCAGCUCGUGCCGUGAGGUGUCGGCUUAAGUGCCAUAACGAGCGCAACCCUUGUUGUCAGUUACUAACAGGUUCCGCUGAGGACUCUGGCAAGACUGCCAUCGUAAGAUGUGAGGAAGGUGGGGAUGACGUCAAAUCAGCACGGCCCUUACGUCCGGGGCUACACACGUGUUACAAUGGGGGGUACAGAGGGCCGCUACCACGCGAGUGGAUGCCAAUCCCCAAAACCUCUCUCAGUUCGGACUGGAGUCUGCAACCCGACUCCACGAAGCUGGAUUCGCUAGUAAUCGCGCAUCAGCCACGGCGCGGUGAAUACGUUCCCGGGCCUUGUACACACCGCCCGUCAAGCCAUGGGAGCCGGGGGUACCUGAAGUGCGUAACCGCGAGGAGCGCCCUAGGGUAAAACUGGUGACUGGGGCUAAGUCGUAACAAGGUAGCCG